UACAGAGGGUGCUAGCGUUGUUCGGAAUCAUUGGGCGUAAAGGGCGUGUAGGCGGUUUGCUAAGUCAUGUGUGAAAUCCCUCGGCUUAACCGGGGAAUGACGCAUGAAACUGGCAAGCUAGAGUACCAAAGAGGGGGGUGGAAUUCCCGGUGUAGCGGUGAAAUGCGUAGAUAUCUGGAGGAACACCGGUGGCGAAGGCGGCAUCCUGGACCAACACUGACGCUGAGUGAGCGAAAGCCAGGGGAGCAAACGGG
rnacentral:rRNA from 1 species